GAUGUAUUGUGUGUAAAUUGCAGAUCUUGUACAAAAUCCAACUACAAAAUGUGUAAUUUGUAAAUGCAAAACCUACCAUCCAUCUACUUGAUUACAAAUUCUAGAUGACACAGCUGUUCCAUAACUGAGUCCUAGGUGGAUUUUUCUGUAUCUUGUUCCUAAGUUAAAAAAGGAAAUUAAAGUGCUCUUUGUGGUAUUUACUAAAUUUAGCUUUGAAUAAUUUCCUCUUAACUUUGUAAAUCUGAAAGUUUAGUAAACCCAUGUAACCAUUAACAGCAGCUUUGAAUAUGUGUCAAAAAUGUAUGCCAAUACACUGAGACAAACAAACAAAAAAGAAAAAAACACCACAAAGUGACUUAUUCAAAAGCCUUCUAUUGGAGAAAGCUAUUAAAGAGGCAAAGCUUCUUAUCUGGGAAUUAUAGCUUGGUUUAGUAGUCUUGGAUAUGGAGACUCCUCAUCUUGGAGUGCUUCCACUACAGGCUCUCCACUGCUGAUCACAGAAAAUCUGCCAACUUGUAAAAGGAGAAUUGUCACCAGAGUAUUAUCAUAUUGCCGGUAGGCGGAUCUGCCAGCAACACAUACAGCCUCUGGCAAGUUCAAAAGGACAAUUCCUGCAUUAAGUGUGCAGAGAUUUUCCUUUGACCAUUUUUAAGGCGCCAAUAGCUGGUAUUUAAGAUAAGGGGCUCCCUAACGAGACUCCAAUCUUUGGUUAAUUGUGGGAUCAGCCAAGAAUUUUCUAGUGAUUCAGAUCUCCCCUUGCUCUCUCUCCCGAGCUUUGACACAGUAGCUGGAUCCACAAAAAAGCAUAGAGGAGCGCAGUGGAGGUGUUUCUUCCUGCCAUUCCCUCCGAUCUAGCCUCAGUCCCUGAACCUGGCUCCUCUCUUUGGCCUGCCACAAAACCAGGCUGCCUCAUAAAAGCACAAAGUAUGUGUUGUGUGCUGCAGGGCCUUAGGGGGCGCAUCAGCUGUGCUUCGAAGAAGAGAUGAUGUCCUCCCCAAAGCCCUCUGUGGUAAGGCAGGAAGGAGCAGGCGGGAGCUUCCAGCCAUGACUUCUGCUUUUGCAGAGGCUUCUAAGCCACACGGCGGCCAUCUUGCUUCACUGACAUCAUGCAGCAAGCCUCACGUGGAGGCUUUACUUCUCAUUCUUUAUUAUCCAGACAUAAAUGUGAAAUAAAGGUAAUUUAGACUCAGGUUACAUGCAGUAUAAAAACAGGAGGAGGAAGCUAGCAGCAGCAGUCUGACUUCGGGCUUCAGAAAGCCUGUGAGAGCCUGCCAAAAUAUAGUCUUAACUGAAAGCAUUAGCACAUCUGAAACCCCACAGAUGCCUAUAAACAAAGCAAAAAACAGACCAAAAAUGCUUUCUAGCAAAGCUACUGUCUCCAUCUCCUGGUGGGUGGAGAAGCAGAGCCUACAUGCAGGUUUUGGCUGAGAAUCUGAGAGAGACCACAAACAACCUCCCCAGAUGAAACUAUAUAUGACAAGUUCAGCUUGCAGCAUAUUUGUACAGCCAAGUUAUAAAUCCCUCAAACAGGGUCUCAUAAUGAAAAUGUGAACACUGUCUUAAUAGAUGGCACCUUGACCUGACAGAAAUUUGGCCUCCAUUCCUCUGCCAGAGCAGCCACAAGACAGGGAAAUAAGUGGUCCGCCCUCCAGCGAGGGCCUCUGGAGGGGGAGGAGGGGGUUGACGGAUGUUUCUGUGGACAAAAGAGAGAGGGAUGAGGAAUAAACUGCAAACUGAUCUGUGCAGAAGAAUAAAAGCAGGAUGUGGCAAGGCAGACCUAGGUCAGUGUCACACAGGUGCAAGCCUUGGAAUUAGUUUCCUGAACAUCUGCAGCAAACAUAAAAAAAACAACUGCCAGUACCAAGGAGGGAGAAAAAAUAGCUCAUCUCACACUGCAUGUAGUGAACCAACCAACAAAACAACAGAAAAGACAAAAAAAAGCUUUUUCUGCAACUAUCACAUUCACUGGUCAUUCUGUUCCCAAUUUCCUAGUUUAAGCUGUGUGUUUUGCCACAUCAUUAAAGAAAAUAACAAUCCUUUUGCUUUCCCCAAAACUGUUUGAAAACAUCCCCCUGUUGAGGCCUGAAGUGAGCCAGUCUUCCAGACCUAAACAAAGGAGGACCACUGCACAGAGCUUCUGGCAUGUUCCCCCACACCAACCCCCUCCUGCCAAGUACUUCAGACUAAAUACAAAUUGGAGUCUCCUCCUAGGAAUGCACAAAGAUCCAUCUUAACAAAAUGUCUAAGUAUAUGAUAGGCAAGCAGUCAUUUGUGUGUUUUUCUUUGCCUACGAGAAUGUCUGGGAGAAGAAGAAAAGGUUACUGUUUUACCCGUAAUUAUUUCUGCUUCCCCUUUCAUCCUUCCUAUUCCCAGGGUAAGCAGACAAAACAGCAUACCGGCACCCCAAACUGAAUUCAUUUACAAAGCUUUAAUUUUUCACUUAGCUGCAUACAAAGCCAAGGUACAGUUGAAUGACCUCUCACAUGUGAAGGGCUAAAUUAAUUUGCCUGAGAGCUAAGCUGAGGGCCUCCACUGCUCACAGAAACGACCCAGACAAGAGAGAUUCUCUCACCUUGUCAGGGAAACACACUCCUCCCUCAACAACACCCUCCCACCUCCCCCAAGACAAAAAAUCCCACACAAAUGAACAAACAAAACACAAAAUUAAGAAGUAACUUACCCCCAAAAUAUUUUGAGCCUACUUAACAAACCUCAUGUUUUCAAAGUGAAUGACUGCUGUUUAAUGGUCAGAACGUUUGUUUCUGAACUGAGUUUAAAAAAAAAAAAAAUUUUUUUUAUUCUCCUUUCAUGACUUCUACUGCCUUAAUUAACUGUCUUUGGUAAAUGAAAAGACAUACUUCAUCUAGUAGUAUCACAAAAUCCAUGAAUAAAUAUUUAUCUUUUUUUUUUCCUCAAGAAGAAUAACUUAUCCACAGGCCCAAGUCUGACAAAGUGAAAAGAUUCCCACAUAACAAAAGUUUUCAAAGCAUAAACUUGCCUUUAGCUUUCCAACAGAAACUGUUAGAAAAAAUAUAACAUUAUAAAACAGAGGAUAAGAGGAUAAACUAUUAAGAAGAAAACAACAAUACUGCAGGAGGACAAGGAGGCAAAGUGUAAUUCAAAUUGCCUAGUGGUUUGGGGAACAUGCAUCUUUCCUCCAGAAGUCAAAAUCCUGGGCUCCAACACUGUUAUAAGCAUCUUGAGAUAGCUCACAGCUGGCCUUUAGCGCCAGUCCUCUUAUAAGGAGUAAAGAAAUGGUUGGGGAAAAGAGCACAAAAAAUCCACAAUUCCUGCUACGUUAAUCUCUCGAUGGAUAACGUCAAGGAUGCCCCAGGAGCUGCUGUUCUACACGCACACCUCCUCCACCAUCCGCUGCAUAGUACAAAGGGUCCUUCACUGCAGCAUGGUGAAAACCCCGUUCCUGGCCCGUCUGCAUCCUGCAUCAUGCCUGAUGCACACAGAAAGUUCUUCCAACAGAAUCACAGAAUCAUAGGUCUUGGAAGGGACCUCUGGAGAUCAUCUAGUUCAACCCCUCUUCUAAAGCAGGUUCCCUAGAGAAGAUAGCACAGGGAAGGUGUGGGUUUUGAAUAUUUCAGAGGAGACUCCAACAAUUCACCUCUGGCAGCAAUGAAUUUGUACACAGCUACAAAAAUACUUAUGCUGGUGGGUAACACGGGUAAUUGGAUGGACAGUGCAGCAAAUGUGCCCAAUUCUGACAAGGAUUCAGGAGUCCUGUUUCAUUUUCCUUCCACCUUCCUUUUUCAACCCAAACUGAAACUUAACCAAGAAGGUGGCAGCACAGACAUUCCUGAUGCUGCCACAAGUCCAGUACUACUGACACACUGCAGAGAACAAAUUCUUUCUCUCCUCUGCAAUUCACAAAGUGACAUUGGAACUACAGAUGGCAAAGUAUACAGAGAGACGCAAGUUAGCUCAAGAAAUGCCAUUAUGUCUGCGCUGACCAGCUCAGGUAGAUGGAUAACCUUUCUCUGCAAGCAGAGCUGGCUCAAACAUCUUGCUUCACUUCUUACUGUCAAAACAGGGAAAAGAGAGAAAGCCACUUCAGAAAGAGAGGUGAAAAAGCUUUGACUCUUAACACAAGCCUUACCCUAUAGUGCCUUCUGCUUCCCAGAGUUACCCCUUCCAGCAUUCAGUCUUAAAGGUAGAAGACAUUUAUUUAAUAGCAGUAGCAGAGCGGUGGAGAAAGUCUUUCUAGCUGCAGUCUGAAGGAAGGGAGAUGGUGGGGGACUUUUACAUCCCCCCCCUCUUUAAAUGGAGCCAGUGGAUACUUUUAUACUGAACUCAACCUGGAGAAAAAGUCAUUUAUAGCUUUGUGUUUGGGCUUUUCUGUUGUUUUUUUUUUUCCUUCAUUCCAGGAAAAGGAGAAUAGAUGGUUGUUUUUAUUUAAUAACAUGUAACUAACUGGAACAAACAAACAAAAAAAAGUACAAUCUGGAUAAAGGACUUUUUAAUGAAGGCACUGUAAAUGACAUUUUCCCUCUACUUUAGAAUGCUGCAAAUAGCAAAUUAGCAUACCUCUGAGUGGAAUUUCUGCUACAGGAGAGAUGAAAGGUUAACUGUCUAAAGAGUAAAGAAUAUGUUUGACAUCCAUUUAGAAAAGAAAGAGUCUCCUAAUAAAAGCAGAGGCUCCACUUGAUGCUCCUAAUUCUCCUUCAGUGUUUGCAUACACUUUCAAAUAAUUAGAGAACCCCACUCCAAAAAGCUCGACUAAAAAAAUAAGGAAAACAAAACAAAACAAAACCACUGAAGACCUCCAUGUCUUGUUUGCUAGGUUUGUAUGGGGGCUCAGGAGGUCACAGUGAUUGACAAGCAUUCGGUGCCUGUAGGAAGGCUGAUAAUGCACACACAUCACUUUGGAGCCUAGCUCUGAGUACUGAUCAUGCCUAAUAAGCACUGGGCAGCCAGCAGCCCAAACAACGCAGCAAGCCAACCUCUGUGAACUAGGGGUGGCUCAGAGAUUGCAAAUGAGGUUCUUUAUCAAUUAGCACCAAUUAGAAAGCCAGACAGUAUGGUAUAUCAUGUAAAUAAAACCUUCCCCGCUCCAAGGCAUUUCCAUAAAGCUACCUUUGUUGCCAUUUUUUAGCAUGCACCUUACUGCUGCAUACAUAUGCCUGGGCUCCCAUGAAAGAAUUUGCUCUAAGUAUUAUUAGGGCCAUAAAGUUGUUCAGAAAAGCAAUUUGAGCUGGGGUACGCAGGCUUGAGUUUCUGCAACUGGCCAUAACCUAACAGCUAAGAUGGGGGUUUCAUAAGGUAUGACAGAGGCAGGAAACCACGGCUCAAGUCAGACAAGCCUGUCUCCAGUUGGGCUCCAAGAGUACCCACACAGCCUGCCUCAUUACCACCCUGUGCAUCACCAGCAGCCAGCUGCUCUGUGAAGGAGACCACCACCAGGGAAGCAGGUGAUGAUUCUCCCUUUCUCCCAGUGUCUAUAAACUAGGUCUUGUGGAACUUGUGCAUUAUUCUAUGCACAGCUGAAGAGAGCAAACUGCUUCCACAGGUGCGCUCAUAACAGUGGUUUAUGAAGUGACUCCACGGAGACAAUGUGUCCUCCAGCAUGUGUGCUGGUCAGCUUCAGCAGCUGUUUUAACUUUGCCUUGUUUCCAGGGCAUGGUAUAGCUCAUUAGGUUACACCUAGCCCCAGCUAGCUCUUUAAAGACAGCUGUGCCUGUUUAGCAAGGGAAAAACAACCCUAUUCAGUGUUUAAAUGCUUACCUUCAAUGAACAGACCUAUUGACUGAUAAUAUUGAUGAUGCUUUUCAAGCUUUACUGAACUUCUGUGUUGGCUAGAGGAUUAAUAACAUAAAUAUGAUUAAGCUUUCAAUAACAGCAGAUGACAAGGAAAAGAGAAUCAGUAUUAUUUUACUUUACCAAAAUCACCCUCGGCACCACGCUUGCAAUAAGAGUAAUACUUUGAUCUAAGCAUUUUUCACUUGCAAAACUGAACCACGUUUUACAAAGGAAGCCAGCAUCACCAUUUUGAACAAAGAACUGCUAUCCAUUUCUUUUCCAUGUAUAUUUUUUUCAAAUGCUACUGCAACAGUUUAGAAAAAAAUAUAUAUAUCAGGGCAAAUCGUGGAGCUUUGGCAUAGUGCCUUUGAAAGGAAGGCCUUUAUCUUCUUCCCAUUCAACCAAAGCUGGCCUCUACCUUUUCCUGCCCAGAAAGGACCUGGGGUUUGGCCUAUCACUAGAGACACGGAGAGCACUGCUGCUGUGCAGCAAAGCUCAGGGAGUCCAGCUGGGCUCUUUCAUCUCACCCAUUGCUGGAGUGCAGUGUGAAAACAAGACAGGGUAAGUGCAGCAAUGAAGUUCCAGGGAGAAAAUAACAUAUUCUACGUAGCAAGAAAACUGCUUCCAAAGAGACGGAAAAGUCUAAUUCUUUUAGACAGCUUAGCUGGGUUAAUUAUUUUUGGCAAAACACACACAUUCCUGGAAAAGUGUGUAACACAAAAGAAUAAAAUAAGUGUGUACUCCUUGAAAGUGAAGUUAAGACCUUAAUAAGUGCUACAAUUACUUCAUAGACUUGCUAAAAACGCUUGAGGUUAAAAAACAAUAGUCUUGCUUAAACAGCUUCAUUUGCAUAUAUUCUUUAAACAAAGCCCACAACCAAGCAAUAGAAACAAUAACAACAACAACAACAAAAAAGCCCAAGUGUAUAUUUGAGAAGCAUUUUAAUAUUUCAGCAACUCUAGAAACUGAACUAAAUGAUAUCAGAGUAAGAACUGCUUUUCUCUUUGGAACUGUAAGUAUUGCGCAGUUAGUGACAGGUGUGAAAAAAGGAGUAUAACUGUGACAAAGCACACUGCCUCACUUUCCCAUUCCCUCCCAAUUCCUCAUUCAUGGCUUGUUUCUUCUUACUUUGCAAGAGAGGCCUUCUAUUCACUUCCAGUGGGGCUACAGAAGUAUUUCAGGAGGCAGAAGAACAGGGUGCCACAAGGAUAACAUAAACACACAUGCAAAGAAUAGACUUCUCCAGAGGCACCUUUGUUGGAUGUCCCAUAAAUCAGUGUCACUGUAUUACAGCAACUGCUCUCUUUUAACAUACUUUGAGCUAUCCCUCUCUGUAUGGGUUAGUUGAUACAGAUUGCAAAUGCCACAGCUAAUUUGGCAGUAAAUGGAGUAAACCAAGUGACUGUUUCUCAGCUCUUGGUAUGUUUUGUUUAAGAACAGAUUUCCCUGACCAGACUACCAGCUUCAAGGUGAAGCUUUGGCAGAAGUCUUGAGAGAAGUUUUCCUCAUGAGAAAGAGGAGGAUACAAAGGCUGGUUUUGUCCUCAGACCCAAGACUACAGCAACUGUCCUGAACUUAGUCUACUUUGCUAUCAUCAGUACUCCAACAAGAGCUAAGUGCAAGUCUAUGCAUCUGCAAGUGUUAAAAGCAAUUUAUUUCUUACCUGGUUUUAUCUAAUCUACUCUAGUUUGACAGCAAGAAAGGAUGGAUGAGGUACUCAUGAUAUUUCUUGUGAAAAUACACUUUAAUUCCAGCUCCACAGCAUAGGAAACAAUUAACUGACAGUGGCUGUUUAUACACACAAUCACCUGUAAAUCUUUAAGGCUUGAGAGUAAGGUUUCCACUCCUUCAAAAUCUCUGGCCAGCAGCACAGCACACAAUUAAAAAUAUUAAUGGUAAACAACAAAGAAAAUGUUAGUCUAGAAGGCAAAUUUACCUAAACAUUUACUGAGGAAGCAUAAAGGAAGAAAAAAGGUAAUAGAAACCAUUUCCAAACUCAUUCCCACAUUGCAGCAAUCAGUGAAACAGCCACUUUAACACAACUAUGUGAGAAGACAGACACUGACCAGUUUCUGGAAAUAACAUUUCCUAGCCUAUUUUUUUUUUUUUAAUCUCUGCCAUAUUUCAGCCAUUUUCAAGAUUUGAAUGCUUAUUUACUCACGUGCUUAUAUUUAUGGUGGUCACAACCAUGCAAUAAAUUGGAUUCAUCACUGAAUUCUUGAGUACUUCAUUUUUGGCCUGCCAAUUAAUCCCAACUGUUGUAUCUUUUCCUAAAUUUCAAGUCUUUGAGUAGCUUCAAACUGCCAGAGAAAUUCUUUCAUUUCCAAAUAUGAUGAAAAAUCCAUUCCAAAUUACAGCACAGCAUAAUUUGGUCCUGGACAAGUGACAGAUUUAAAGGUCUGAUUUCUUGUAACCCUUCACAGCUAGAAAUUUCUGUGGCAUGGGAAAAAUAUCAUUUUCUAAUCAUUGGAUAGUGUAAAGAUAAGGGCUUUUUUUUUUCCCCCAACACAGAGAACCUGUUUUAGAUAAAAUGUUAUGGAUUUUCAUUUAUCACAAAUUCAACUACAGUAAGCUCAUGAGAAACCAUGAAAACCUCUAAAAUUAUUUAAAAUUUCUUUUAUGUAACUGAAAGCUACAUGACUGUGUUCUUUAUCUGAAGUUUCCCCAUAGCUACAACAUUAUUUAAUUCUGUUAGCAGUAUGGCUAGCAGAUAUAACAAAUACAUUUAUAGAAAAUACAUUAACAUACCUGUUUAAAUGUUUAAAUUAAAUGUUCGAAAUGAAACAAAGAAAAACAUAUUAGAGGACAAAUGAGACGGUCAAAAUGAAUUAUAUGCUAAUGUUUUGCAUUAUUCUGACAUUACCAAAUGACUCCCGCCUUAAUGUAGAGGCAUUAACAUUCACAUAUGCUUUUCAUCAGGUAUUUGAAGCAGGUGGACCAGCUGAAGUAAAAUACGAACAGAUCAUCUAUGAAGAUAACUUAUCAUUGCUCUUCUGAAAAUUAUGGACUGCAGAGUCAUGCAAUCCAUUAUGGCAAUCUGCUCAUAUCACUUAACAGAUGCUGGUCUGUGAACCUAAAAAUAAUAGCAACUAACAGCCUGUCAUCAUUCUCAGGCUGAGGAAAUACUCUUAACAUAGCAAGGUAUAUACACAAAUAUUUCAGGGACUGUGGUGAACAUCUGACUUAGAAAUACCUCUGAAUUGACACAAUGCAUUUCCUUUGAACAUCCUUCUGUAAACACCCUUUUUUAGUCCCAUUAACUAAUAUACCAACAUUCUUAACAUCAGCUCCUGAACUGACAUCACCCAAGUACACUGAAGAUGAACUUUACUUUCUCUGCUGAGGAACGUAAAGGAAAGAAAGCUUGAUUAUUUACUUAUUUAUUUUUCUUGAAGCUUAGAACAUUAAUUUUUGGAGCUACACUCAUCCUACCAUGACCAAGUGAGUAACAGGGAAAGGAUCCCUACACAGGCCAGUUGCAGGAUGUCUGGUUUUGGCGCAGAAGAAGAAGUAAAUCGUGUCAGCUUCACCUACUGAACUUCUGAGAAUGAGUCAAAAGGCAGUUGCAUGACUGACUUUUUGUAAAGAUCAAGCCAUCAGGUGGUUUGAUCAGCCACUUAAAUCUGCCUACCACAUAUGGAGCUCUGCCAUAAAGAAAUCUGAGUCCCUGGCCGAGACAGAAUAUGGAAAAAUGAGGAAAUGCUUAAAUAUAAACACAUGAAUGCAAAACAUACACCAUUGGUUAUGUCACAAGGAAUAGCAUGUCCUUGUUUUCAAAGGUAAGCAGAAGGAAAUCUCAGUAGUGCACCUGCAGACCAGGCUGUCUCCAAGGAUCGAUGCUUCCAGAGAAGCAUGAGAAGAGACCACAGGCCAGGCCAUGCUGUAUUUUCUCAGCAGGGCUCUACUGCUAACAAAAAAGAUACGACUGGACUGUUUGAGUACUCAGGACACUGUAUCUGAAAAGGGUUUAGAUAACUCCAUUUGAGAUCGCUUUCUUCCUGUGAUCAACGUAAGUUACAAUUUGAUGACAAUACUGCUGCAUAUAGUCAUCUAACACAUAGCACAGUAUAAAAACUUCGCAAAAACCAUGACAUUUUUCCAAGCCUACAGAUCAUUAAUGGAAAGAAAUUCCAGGAUCUCGAUACUGAUCGUAUUCUGACAUUUUAUCAGGAUGUGGACUGUGCAAGUAAUACAUGGUUAGCCUUGCCAUCAAUAUUCUCUACAUAGGUUUCUUCAUUUUGCAUGAAACAUAAAAAAACAUUGUAUUUAGAACUAACUGGUUGAUACUUUCAGAAUAAAUGCAAAAAUCCAUCUUGACCAGAACAAAAUACCUUUGCAAACCAAAGACAUUUAUCUCCCAAAAUAAAGCAAACACUGUAGACUAAAAUUAAGUGAAUCUGCCUCAGAAAUUAAUUUGUCAUUACUAUUCAAUUCAGAACUUAAGGUUUUGCAUUUCUUCCUAACAAUUUUUGAAAUAAAUCUGUUUACCUGUUCAGUGCUUACAGCCUCAAGAGUGAUGUCUGUCUAAGAACGGAACAUUACUGUGAAUUGCUUCAGUUACAGUAUCCUAAUGGACAGAUUUAGUAACCUGGCUAAGAAUUGGACUUAUUGUCUUCAAUCAAACUCAGAUCAUUCGUGUUGUAAGAACUCAUAUGUUUAUACAGCAGGUGAAUUAGGCCCAUAGCCAUCAGUCUACAAGUAACAGAGAGAUCAUUUUUUAUGCUAAGGAGUGCAUUUCAAAAAGCCAUUAUAUGUUUCUAGACUGGAAAUAUCUCAUCAGAAAGUGAUGUUAUUUCACAGGCUGUUUGGGGCUGUCCCAGAAUUUUAGUUUUUAAGAGCUCAGACAUGAAAGCAAUCAAGCUUGUGCUGCUAUAUAAUAGGUUUUCACUGUGAAUAUUAACAGAGUCUGAACUGUGGCACAAAUUGCUUACGUGUAUGUUAAAUAUGAACUAAUAAAAUUUCUCAGUAGAGCAAAGCCUCUGGCAGGCAGACAGAUGUGACUGGAACGGCACUGCCAGCACAGCCCAGGCUGCCUGCCUCCCAGCAGGGCGGUGACAGAGCACUCCUGCCUCUCAAGGAAACCUUCCUGGCCCCCUGAAGUAACACCAGCAUCCUUCUUUCUGAAAGCAGGCAACACAAUUGGCUGGGAGCCUCCUUCUCACUGCAAAAGUGAAAAGUUCACAGUGCUUCUUGGAGUAUGGAGAAAAAAAAUCUUUUGAAUUGACAAGCUCGUCUCUAAUGGCAUCUUCUCAUCCCUCCGCACAGCAGGUCUUACAAUUUAAUCGUAUAAUCAGUGAGAUGAAUGGAUCAGUUCACGGCUCUGAACUACAGACUUCAGCAAACAUUACUGCACUGAGACUCAAGCAAACCCUUUUACACAGUCAUGAGGGACAAAUGUAAACACAGGAUGCCAGAAGCUGAGACCUUCAGAAUAGAUCUCCUAUGCUUAUGCCUUAAAUCCAGUCUAAAAUAAACCUCAUGAAGGUAAGAAAAUGAUGUUAGCAGACAUAUUAAGGAAAAAAAGAAGACUUACACACAGGUUCAGAAUUCCCCACGCUCAGAAAGUACUGGUGAAAUCAAUAUUUAAUCCACACUUGAUGUUCUGGGCAUAGAUGGCAAGAACCAGAAUCUGUUUUGACAGACUUGCAAACGUCUAGAAGCUUCAGACCCAUUUUUGCUCAGUUUACGAUCCUAUGCCAUAUGAACAGCAAGCCUGAAAUUCUCUGGACAUUUUUCUGUCCUCCUGUACGUGCUCUGGGAGCAUCAGAGCUUUUGUCACCUCCCUUUCUGCAGCACUGCUCUCAGCUGUAGCACACCUAUUGUUAGCUAUUUCCUACUGUUUUUAUUUUUCAAACAGUGCUGUGCCAUGGACACAGAAGAUAAAGAUCAGUAAACUUAUAAUAUGGAACUUAAACCCUGAAGUCAGCACAUGCAGCUAGAAAGUCACGUAUGGUGAACUGGAACUUCUAACAACAACAAGCAAAGUCAUUAAUCACGAGACACGUCCUGCACAGAACACAGAGAAAAUGUCUGUCAGAAUCUGGAUGAAACCCUGCUCACCUCCGUCAGCAUGAGUAUCAUCUUUCCAACAACAGCAAAAAUCUUUUGGUCUGGCAAGCAACCUCCUGUGCUAUCUGAACAGCCUGGGCCUCACAGCUACCAGUGACUGAGUUCCCUCAAAUGAACCAGAUGCCAACGCUGAUGCCACCAUCAGAACGGUGGUUUGGGUCAUAUUUUCCUUUUUUUUUUUUUUCUUAUUUCUUCUCUGUCAAAACUCAGUCCUCAGGAAAUAGCACGUAAUUCUAAAUAUAUGUGGACUAUCCUUUAUGAUAAGUUUCUUACAAGACUAAAAACUACAACUAAAAUUCCAAAUAAGGCAAGCAGAAUGGCAUGAUUUCUUGCGAGAACAGCAAGAAAGAUGCCUAUGGGAAUGGCAUAAAUGGAAUUAAAAAAAAAUGGAACCAAAAUGGGAUUUCUUGAAGUCAAAGAAGAGACUGGCCUGUGAAAGGAGUAUGCUUUCAGGGAUUAUGAUCAGCACUACUACUUUGUUCUAUUUUGAGAAAUAUUCUUACAAUCAAAUAAAGUUAGCUAACCCAAA